UCGUAAGGAGUUAUGAACGUGAAAUAGUGACACAGACUGGCUACACCAUCUCAUCUGCAGCAGAGAUUGUUAUGUAUGUUGUAUCAGAAGGACAGCGCGUUUGUUUGACGCACUUUUCACUUCAACUGUGUCUGACAGGAGAAUUAGCUUUCUGAACCUUCUAGCCGUUGAGUUACCAUGGCAACCGCGUAUACAUCAGCUGCUGGAAAGGAGAGGACUCGUCUGACAUUUUCUCUGUUUCUCGUCAGUUAUACCAAAGAAAAGGCCAACAACUGCGACAGAUUGUGAUUUCAGGAGUGUCUUAAAAACCCUCUAAAACAGAGGAGAAGUUCCAAGAAAAUGUCUAACGGGAGCUGCUGACAGAGAUAGAAAACACAGGAGCUGGAGGCCGUGAAGAUACAGAUCCAUGAUAUUGUGGAGAAGCAGGCCCAGCUGAGCGAGUGGAGAGCUGUGCUGGAAAUAUUCAGGGGUUGAUGCUCAUAAGUCCAGGGUAAGUAUACAGCUAACCCUACUACCACCUCUACUCUGUGUGGUUCUCUGCAAAGGCCCGGUGUACCCAGGAUGCGAUCUUCCCAGAUGUCCUUCACCCUAUUUCAUAGUGUAAGACAUGAUCCAGGCCCUGGGCGACGACCUCUCUCCAUCCGCCGCCUCCGGUCUUCAGGAUCUCCACCAGAACCCGAUUCGCUCCACUUCGCGAGACAGAACACAACACAACACUGUGAUCAUCAGAGACUCCAUCGUCCGGCACGUUUGCGCUAUGUUAGCUGAAGGUAAAGUCCACACUGACUACUUCCCUGGUGCUCAUGUUCUUGAUAUUUCUGCACAGAUUCCCUGAAGAGUGAGGUGGGCAUCAGAGCGGACGGAGACACUGAAGAGGGACUUCAGGAGCCUGAUCAAGACAGUGCGCAGCAUAUCGCCUGCAUGAUGAUCAUCGUGUCAGGACCACUUCCCACGUAUAGAUGAGGACAUGAAAGGUUCAGCAGACUUUUUGCUUUAAACGAAUGGUUAUAGUCAUGGUGUAAAGAACAGAAACUGCCUUUUGUUAAUAAUUGGAAUAUUUUCUGGGAGCUAGGCUUUUUAGAUCUUCUGUUGGACAACAUCUCCAGGACACUUCGCUCCAUAUGACUAGGCAGUUUGUGAAAAGAGAUCAUCAAGAGAAGUCAGUUCCAGAUCCACCCUCCACACCAGACCUCUCUCUCACGAGGAUUGCUGUCUACAAGCAUAUUGUGUUCUUCAGCUCUUCAGACUUCGGUGGAUGCAGAUAUUACUCAGGGACAUGAACACUAGAAUAUUGCAAGAAUAGAGAAAGUAAGAAUUACUUAAGAUUUUAGAAUUUAAUGUUAAUUGCUUAAACAUAUACAGUAUUGUUCAAAAUAAUAGCAGU